rnacentral:misc_RNA from 1 species
GGGCAUUGUUGGAAAUAGCAGUGAGAACACCCCAAACAUUAGGGUCCGGGUUAGUGAGAGGUUGAGAAGAUAUGUUAGAGGCCACUGAGAGGAUGAACUCCUUUGGGCUCAACGGCUUUGGCGACAUACCAUCGGGAUUUGGACGAGGUGUAGGAUGCGAGGUGCUUGACUGCGAGACUGGACUUGGACUCGGCUUGUUUGCUUGGUUCUCGUCUUCUAUAGCC